rnacentral:rRNA from 1 species
UACAGAGGUCUCAAGCGUUGUCCGGAAUUACUGGGCGUAAAGAGCUCGUAGGUGGUUUGUCGCGUUGUUCGUGAAAUCUCACGGCUUAACUGUGAGCGUGCGGGCGAUACGGGCAGACUAGAGUACUGCAGGGGAGACUGGAAUUCCUGGUGUAGCGGUGGAAUGCGCAGAUAUCAGGAGGAACACCGGUGGCGAAGGCGGGUCUCUGGGCAGUAACUGACACUGAGGAGCGAAAGCGUGGGGAGCGAACAGG